UGCUUCUCUGAUGUUAGCGGCGGACGGGUGAGUAACACGUGGGUAACCUACCUAUAAGACUGGGAUAACUCCGGGAAACCGGGGCUAAUACCGGAUAAUAUUUUGAACCGCAUGGUUCAAUAGUGAAAGACGGUUUCGGCUGUCACUUAUAGAUGGACCCGCGCCGUAUUAGCUAGUUGGUAAGGUAACGGCUUACCAAGGCGACGAUACGUAGCCGACCUGAGAGGGUGAUCGGCCACACUGGAACUGAGACACGGUCCAGACUCCUACGGGAGGCAGCAGUAGGGAAUCUUCCGCAAUGGGCGAAAGCCUGACGGAGCAACGCCGCGUGAGUGAUGAAGGUCUUCGGAUCGUAAAACUCUGUUGUUAGGGAAGAACAAAUUUGUUAGUAACUGAACAAGUCUUGACGGUACCUAACCAGAAAGCCACGGCUAACUACGUGCCAGCAGCCGCGGUAAUACGUAGGUGGCAAGCGUUAUCCGGAAUUAUUGGGCGUAAAGCGCGCGUAGGCGGUUUCUUAAGUCUGAUGUGAAAGCCCACGGCUCAACCGUGGAGGGUCAUUGGAAACUGGGAAACUUGAGUGCAGAAGAGGAGAGUGGAAUUCCAUGUGUAGCGGUGAAAUGCGCAGAGAUAUGGAGGAACACCAGUGGCGAAGGCGGCUCUCUGGUCUGUAACUGACGCUGAUGUGCGAAAGCGUGGGGAUCAAACAGGAUUAGAUACCCUGGUAGUCCACGCCGUAAACGAUGAGUGCUAAGUGUUAGGGGUUUCCGCCCCUUAGUGCUGCAGCUAACGCAUUAAGCACUCCGCCCUGGGGAGUACGACCGCAAGGUUUGAAACCUCAAAGGGAAUU
rnacentral:rRNA from 1 species